GACGAACGCUGGCGGCGUGCUUAACACAUGCCAGUCGAACGGAAAGGCCCUGCUUUUGUGGGGUGCUCGAGUGGCGAACGGGUGAGUAACACGUGAGUAACCUGCCCUCGACUUUGGGAUAACUUCAGGAAACUGGGGCUAAUACCGGAUAGGAGCUCCUGCGGCACGGUGGGGGUUGGAAAGUUUCGGCGGUUGGGGAUGGACUCGCGGCUUUUCAGCUUGUUGGUGGGGUAGUGGCUUACUAAGGCAUUGACGGGUAGCCGGACUGAGAGGGUGACCGGCCACAUUGGGACUGAGAUACGACCCAGACUCCUACGGGAGGCAGCAGUGGGGAAUAGUGCACGAUGGGCGGAAGCCUGAUGCAGCAACGCCGCGUGCGGGAUGACGGCCGUCGGGUUGUAAACCGCUUGCGCCUGUGACGAAGCGUGAGUGACGGUAAUGGGUAAAGAAGCACCGGCUAACUACGUG
rnacentral:rRNA from 1 species